rnacentral:rRNA from 1 species
GACGAACGCUGGCGGCGUGCUUAACACAUGCAAGUCGAACGGUGAAGCGCCUUCCUUUUUGGUGGGUGUGGAUGAGUGGCGAACGGGUGAGUAACACGUGAGUAACCUGCCCCCUUCUUCUGGAUAACCGCAUGAAAGUGUGGCUAAUACGGGAUAUUCUGGGUCUGUCGCAUGAUGGGUCUGGGAAAGAUAUUGUUUCGGUGGGGGAUGGGCUCGCGGCCUAUCAGCUUGUUGGUGGGGUGAUGGCCUACCAAGGCGGUGACGGGUAGCCGGCCUGGGAGGGUGGACGGUCACACUGGGACGGAGACACGGCCCAGACUCCUACGGGAGGCAGCAGUGGGGAAUAUUGCACAAUGGGCGCAAGCCUGAUGCAGCGACGCCGCGUGAGGGAUGGAGGCCUUCGGGUUGUGAACCUCUUUCGCCAGUGAAGCAGGCCUGCCUCGUUUGUGGGUGGGUUGACGGUAGCUGGAGAAGAAGCGCCGGCUAACUACGUG